UUAACGCAAUAAGACAAAUAUCCGCGAAAAAACUUAAUUUGCUCACAGUGAUAUAUAUAUAUAGAACCAAAUCGUUAUCAUGAUACAUUUAGCUCCAGUGAUCUAUAAUUUUUAAAACCUUUUACUACUUGAAUAGUGACGAAAUAUAUCAAAGGGACAUCAAACUCAUAAUUAAAAACGAACUGACAAAGCCGGGCAAAAACGAACAAGACAAGCAAUAGUAUACAAAACACAACAUAUAAAACUACAGAUUGAAUAACACAAACCCC
rnacentral:lncRNA from 1 species